GACGAACGCUGGCGGCGUACUUAACACAUGCAAGUCGAACGGUAAGGCCCUUCGGGGUACACGAGUGGCGAACGGGUGAGUAACACGUGGGUGAUCUGCCCUGCACUUCGGGAUAAGCCUGGGAAACUGGGUCUAAUACCGGAUAGGACUCCUGGCUUCAUGGUUGGGGGUGGAAAGCUUUUGCGGUGUGGGAUGGGCCCGCGGCCUAUCAGCUUGUUGGUGGGGUAAUGGCCUACCAAGGCGACGACGGGUAGCCGGCCUGAGAGGGUGACAGGGCACACUGGGACUGAGAUACGGCCCAGACGCGUACGGGAGGCAGCAGUGGGGAAUAUUGCACAAUGGGCGAAAGCCUGAUGCAGCGACGCCGCGUGAGGGAUGACGGCCUUCGGGUUGUAAACCUCUUUCAGCUAUGACGAAGCGCAAGUGACGGGAGUAGCAGAAGAAGGACCGGCCAACUACAUGCCAGCCGCCGCCGUAA
rnacentral:rRNA from 1 species